ensembl:lncRNA novel transcript
GUUAGCAUGGCAUUUUGAAUGGAGUUUUAAGCCUAAAGGACAGUAUCCUACUUGCAGAAGAAGAUGGGAAAUGUAACAUUCCAUUAUCUUGCUUUGGAUUUAUGGAAAUUCUGAACAGUGAUGUGAGAGUGACUACAGUUUGAAGUAUCUGUUAAAUACAGCAACAUGACAUCACAAGGAUUGUUUUGGAGUCUUCUGGAUAUGAGAACAUUAUAAAAGGUGAAAAAGUAGAACUGAAAUAUGAAGGGAGAAAAAGAGACAAACAUGGUUUCAAGUCUCACUUAGAGAAGAAGGAUUGUUUAUUUAUUUGAUGGAAAUUGGGUCAAUUGAAGACUCUGACACAGAGAAUAACGGUACCAGACCUGAGUCCAGUCUUAGCUUUAGUAGGAACAAAAUGUAUCAAUCAAAUUUAUAUAGGACCAAAUACCAGUGAAAGAAAUUAGACAUAAUUACUGAAAGAAUAAAUUACAUGAGAUAUUCACUGUACUUAGCCACAUGACAUGAAAACCUAUGCCCUUUAGAGCAAGCACAGUUCCAUGCAAAACUGUAGAGAAGUUUUCUCACCCCUUUUUCACAUGCUUCUCACAUUGUAGCACCCCUCCUUGAAACCAUCCUACUUCUACUAUCCUCCAGUUUCCUCUGGAUUUGAAUGUCCAUAUCAUGCUAUGGUCCUUCAGUCAGCUCCUGUGUCAGAAAUCAGGGCCCUGCUCUGGGCUCUUCCUUCAUCCUGUAACUAUAGUCAAAUAAGUCCUGUUAAGUCUACUUCCUUAAAAACUCUUAAUAAUCUCUUCCCCUUCUUCAUUGCCAUUGCCUAUUGCACCAUCUUAUUCAGAACACCAUUUUUCUUACCUAUAAUGUUGAAAGUAACUCUUCAACAGUCCUGUUGCGUGCUUUAUCCCAUUGCUUCUUAUAUAACAGAUGUGGUGAUAUUUAGCCUAUUUGUAGUUCCUUGAAACCAUCCUUUGUACUGCCAUCUAAGUAAUCUUUAAAAUAACAAGAUAAAUAUUUCUAUGACCUCCAUUGUCUAAAGCAAAUUUCCAAUGUAUAUUGUGAAAAAAAUGCCAAAGAGUUUCAUGACAAAUGCUAUAUACUAUAGUCUUGGGAGAGCCACAGGGUAAAUUAGUUCUAAAGAGCUCUCUUUGGUAGAGGAAACUGUUAAAAUGUGAUCAGCCUAAUAAGAUCAUAAUCAUAUGACUAUGAACUAUUUUAAAUGUACCUAUCAAUUUUUUCAACCUACUGUUUUGAAGUAUAUUCAAUCUAUUGUCUCAAGUAUAUUUUUCAAUGUACUUGAGAGUAUAUUGACCUGAAGAGAAAAGUCCAAACUCCUAUGACCUUACUAUUGUUCUGACCUCAUCUCUCACAGCUCCCUCUUAUUCCUGGUGUUCUAUCACAUGAUAAUGAAAUUUGACAGAACAGUAUUUAUGUUACUGGGGGUGUGGGGCAUUGAGGAAGCAUGGCAAAUGAGAGGGAAGUGGUAGAAAAAUGACUUUUAUCAUGUGCCUCUAAGAAGAGACAUAUAUGGAUUGAGAUCCACUUAAAAGGGAAAAGUUAAAAAAAAUCAAAACCCAAAAAUCACCACCAUUCUGUGGAUGUGGUAUAUUUAAUUGUCUAAUAAUAAUAAAUUUCCCACAAUGUCAGAUGUUAAGAGUACAAGAAAGAGUUACAAAAGGAAGAGGUUAGGGCAAUAAAUUGAAAAGUGAGUAGAGUUGAGGAAAAUGCUUUGCUAGAUUGCUAGAUUGAAGUUUUCUUCAAUCUAGCAAAAAAGGAGACAGGAGAAAAGGAGCAAAUUGCAAAGGCAAUGGAGGGGAGAUAACAUAGCUGAUUACUAAAGAGGAUAUUUGUGUACUUAUUUGUAUGGUGUGUGUGUGUACG